rnacentral:piRNA from 1 species
UGAGAGGACUUGGUCUGGCUAGC